AUACAUGAGGGCACCUGAUCAGCCAUGCCGCGUGAGUGAUGAAGGCCCUAGGGUUGUAAAGCUCUUUUGUGCGGGAAGAUAAUGACGGUACCGCAAGAAUAAGCCCCGGCUAACUUCGUGCCAGCAGCCGCGGUAAUGCUACGUGCCCGCCGCCACUAUAAUUACGACCCGCGCCGCGGUAAUAACGGCCCCCAGGGCCCAGGUAUAAAAGGUGCGGGGGUUUGGGGGGGGGGGGCUCUUUAU
rnacentral:rRNA from 1 species